rnacentral:rRNA from 1 species
UACGAAGGGUGCAAGCGUUAAUCGGAAUUACUGGGCGUAAAGGGUGCGUAGGCGGUUCGUUAAGUCUGUCGUGAAAUCCCCGGGCUCAACCUGGGAAUGGCGAUGGAUACUGGCUCGCUAGAGUGCGGUAGAGGAGAGUGGAAUUCCCGGUGUAGCAGUGAAAUGCGUAGAGAUCGGGAGGAACAUCCGUGGCGAAGGCGGCCACCUGGACCAGUACUGACACUGAGGCACGAAAGCGUGGGGAGCAAACAGG